rnacentral:rRNA from 1 species
UCGAGAAUCUUCCACAAUGGGCGAAAGCCUGAUGGAGCGACGCCGCGUGAGUGAUGAAGCCCUUCGGGGUGUAAAACUCUUUUAUAGAGGAACAAUUUUUUGAGCUUACUUUAUGAAUAAGAGGCUGCUAACUCUGUGCCAGCAGCAGCGGUAAUACAGAGGCCUCGAGCGUUAUCCGGAAUCAUUGGGCGUAAAGGGUGAGUAGGUGGUUUUAAUAGUGAAUGGUUAAAUUUUGAGGCCCAACCUCAAAGCUGCCAUUCAAACGUUAAGACUAGAGCAAGCGAGAGGCUGAUGGAACUUACCAAGUAGGGGUGAAAUCCGUUGAUAUGGUAGGGAACACCAAAGGCGAAGGCAUUCAGCUGGUGCUUUGCUGACACUGAAUCACGAAAGCGUGGGGAGCAAAAAGG